GGUCCAGUAGCACCUUAGAGACCAACUAAGUUUGUUCUGGGUAUAAGCUUUCGUGUGCAUGCAUACCCAGAACAAACUUAGUUGUUCUCUAAGGUGCUACUGCACC